ACAGCGCAAAUACACGUUGCUCAGGUUUCCAGGGGCCUUUUUGUUUUUGUUUUUGUGCCAAGUGCCGCUGUUGCGUCGUGAAGUGGGGGCGUCGCAGCGCGAAGAUUUCAUAGCAUCCCCACUUCCAGGAAGAUGUCACAGCUUAAAUUCUGUUCUCGACGAUCCCCAGUGGUUUGCUGUAAUGGCUGUGUUGCAUCAAGCCAAUCUCUUGCCACAAAUAUUGGCCUUGAUAUUUUAAAGAUGGGUGGCAAUGCUGUAGAUGCUGCUGUGGCUGUAGCCGCUGCUUUAAAUGUUACCGAACCAUUCAGUACAGGCCUAGGUGGAGAUUGUUUCUGCCUGUACUAUGAUGCAAGCACAAAGCAGGUGCGUGGUCUCAAUGGAAGGUAAGUUCCAAAAAGACGUAUGAGAGCAAAUGCUCAAGGAAAGGGCUGGGCUCCAUUACCAAGUUCAAGAAGAGAAGUAAAAAACACAAGCGUGCCUAAUAAAACUAACGCAAAAUAAAGCAUGGAAGAGUACACAUUGCAGAAGUAAAGCCUCCCAGAAGAACAGAUAAUAGAUUUGAAAAAUCUUCACCAUCCACAAGAGAUAUUUGCCUGAUACCAUUUCCAGUGCGCCUGAAGCCUUGCAAUGUAAGGACUUCUCUGCAACAAAUUUAUUUAUUUAUUUAACAGACUUUUAGGCCACCUCAGUUGCAAUUGAAAAUUAAGUGUAAAACAAGAAGAAGGUAAGGCAAAUGAAACAAAUAAUAACAUUGCUAAAACCCAUGUUGGAGAAAAAGAACACCUGUUGUACAUCACAUAAAUAUAAGUUAAAAGCAGGGUAACAAACCACCCUGCCCCAGGGCCUGCUUAAAAAACCCAGUUUUCAUAGCCUUUAUGAAAAGGGAACAAGGUUGAGGCUUCAGGAGAAUGUUGUUCCAGCCAUGGAGAAAUUUCUUUGUGGUAGAAAUAUGAAUGGAAGGGAAAGAAUAGGUGAAGGUGUCCAAGUGGGUUGUGAGAAAUGCAGCUGGGCAACUGAGGCUCUGAAUAGGCUCUUUGCUCAGAGCCAGUGAAUCAGAAGUAGAGAAAAGACUUGAACCCAGGUCUCUUUGAGCCUUGUUGCAAUAAGUAUUGGGAGAAGAUGUCUAGCUGUUGCUUGAAGCGUGGAAAAAUGGAUGAUAGAGAAACAGUACAAAUAGUCAUUUGAGUGAGCGGGCAAAUAAGAAUCCAGGUUAUUGCAAGUAACACUUCCUAAACCGAAGCACUUUUUCUGAAAGAGGCGGCAGAUUUUCUGGACUAAAUUUCUCAGAACAUUUCAAUUUAAUGAUAGAGAUUGGGCUUGCUACAGUUCUCACAAGCUUUCUUGCAUAUGCAAAUAAUACUUGCUAACGUUUUGGAUUUGUACCUGCAGACUUGUGUGCAUAAUGUCACUUUAAUUUAUUUUUAAACUGUCUCUGAUAAUGAUUUUGUGUGUAUACAAUAUUACAAUGGACAGAAAGUUUUGGUUUCAUUUGGGAAAGUUUUGUUUUUUUAAUUUAAUUAGAAGGUCGGAAUCCAGCUUUGUAUCUCAUUUCCUUUUUUUUUAGUUCUGAAUUUCCUAUGUCUGACUUUUACUGAACUUUUUGGAAGUGCAAAGGAAUGGCUGUCCUUUUGCUGUUGGGCUUCACUGAAUGUGAAUAGGAGGGGGCUAUAAAAGUCUAGCAUCAGGUGGUUUUUGAUUCCUUUUCUGUAGUGUAGUCAAAGGGCAAAGAACAGGGUGUGCUGUCACUCAUAUAUCUGAUUUCCAAAGAUACUCGCCUCCUGGAACGUUUCACAAAGAAACAGGAAACCAUUUCAAAUACAAAUGACUUUUUCCCCCCAGAUGUUAUACAAUGCACACCUGACCAAGCACCAUGAUGAAAGUAUAAUUAAAGGAACUUUUCCUAUGGAAACUACUUCCUAUGAUACCGUGCAGUAGUUUGCUAUAAAAG